rnacentral:rRNA from 1 species
GGGGAAUAUUGCACAAUGGGGGAAACCCUGAUGCAGCAACGCCGCCUGAAGGAUGAAGGCUUUCGGAUUGUACACUUCUUUAGUCAGGGACGAAUAAAUGACGGUACCUGAAGAAUAAGCCACGGCUAACUACGUGCCAGCAGCCGCGGUAAUACGUAGGUGGCGAGCGUUGUCCGGAAUUACUGGGUGUAAAGGGCGUGUAGGCGGGAAUGUAAGUCAGAUGUGAAAUCCCAGGGCUUAACUCUGGAGCUGCAUCUGAAACUAUGUUUCUUCAGUGUCGGAGAGGAAAGCGGAAUUCCUAGUGUAGCGGUGAAAUGCGUAGAUAUUAGGAGGAACACCGGCGGCGAAGGCGGCUUGCUGGACAAAUACUGACGCUGAGGUGCGAAAGCGUGGCGAGCAAACA